GCAGUCUGCUCCAGUAGAGAUACGUCCUUGACCACCUUCAUCUCCUUGAUUGUGGAGUAAAGUGCAGCUCUUAGUCCCAGCACGACUGCGCUGUGAGGAACCUGGGUAGCGUAGUGCUGAGGCCUGUAGAAGCUGCUGCAGAAGGCCUUUCAUUCACAUCUGCACCACUCGCUGAAUCAAUAAAGGAUCAUGCCCCUCCACAGUGAACACCUGAUGGUUAACGUGGGGUCUGCAAGCUGAACUGGUGACAACACACGGUUUAAGUUCCAGCUUCAUGAACAUCAUGUCCAUGUGUGACUCCAUCCCAUCCUGAGUACGCUCUUCAGUCAUACCUGGACUCUGACACUCUUGAUCAGCCAGGCAAGUGGCUACUUUUUUCAUGUUUGUGCAACACACCAUGGAUUUUAUUCAUAUUUAUAUGGACACAUACUGUUUUAAAGAAGAUCUCAACACUGCCAUACCUGCA